rnacentral:lncRNA from 1 species
GGAGCCGCACCGGCCUGGAAAAGCACAUGCGGGACGCACGGGCCGCGCGCCCACGGCGGGGCUGGUGCGGGAGGCCCACAGCGCAGCCCUGGCCUGGCCCGGCGCAGGCCCCACCUUUCCCCCGGGGCCCCCUCCCAAGCACCUGGCCUGCUCAGACUUGUCGUCCUUGGCUGUCCUGAGGUCACCAGGUGGCCGGAGCGGUCUCUGCGUGUGUCCCCUCCCCACCUAGGCGGUGUUUGUUGCCUGCCAGCUGGGAGAACCCACAGGCCAGGGCACCCCGAGCAGGACAGGCGGCCUUGGAGGGCUGCUUCCCGCCACGAGGCUCUCCUCGCCCACCUCCACGUCCUGCCCUCCGCCCAGAGCUGUCGGGUGCCAGUGGCCGGUGUGAGAUCGUGUCCCGUGAUUGCGUGUUCUGGCUCGUCCCUGCAGUCAGCCCGAGGAGGUGGGCGUGCAGGAGGCCAGACCCUGAAAUUCCACAACUUCCAGGAUGGCCAGGAGCGCUUCCCAAGCCACAGCUGCCAGCGCCCCUUAGCUGAUACUGUGCUGCCCGAGGACGCCCACCUCAAGCUCGGCUCUGUGUGCCUGCUACGUCCCCUGCCUUGCUGUGUUGGGAGGUGGCGAGGGGACACUCUCUGACGUGGGCUGGAGGCUCUGAGACAGCCAGCGAAGUGGCACAGAAGGCCCCUUCCCCGGCAGGCCACCCCCUGCGGCCAGCGCUGCAGCCACAGGCUUAGAGGGGCCCUGUCUGCCACAGCUGGGGCACCUCUGUCCCCAAGGGACAAGUUCCCAGGCUGUCCUGCAAAACCAAAACUCUCCCCACUCGGUCCAGAAUCCCUGUGGAGGCGCGUCGCAGGGAAAUUAAACUGGAAAAGGCAAAAGACGCGUUACGCCGUGAGCCCGAUGCAAGCUGUAGGUACCGUCCCCGCACCCCCGAGAAUAAGUCCAAGCCGGGCUCAUGGGCCACCGUGGGCAGGGUCUGGGCUCUGGGGCUUCCUUGCAGUGGCCGCCUCGAGACGGCAGGCCUAGGGGACACACUUAUUUCUAUAACUUUGUGCAAACGGUGGUACCGCUUGUUCUUCAGAGCAGCAUGGGAUGGGGUUUUCCCCGAACGCAUAAACUUGCGGAGCCCAAGAUUUCCGGGUGGUUUUUACACGCCACUUGCUCUGGCGGAGUGCUGGCCACAGGUGACAGCUCUGCCGCUUCCAGGUGGAAGGGAUC